GACGAACGCUGGCGGCGUGCUUAACACAUGCAAGUCGAACGGAAAGGCCCUGCUUUUGUGGGGUGCUCGAGUGGCGAACGUGUGAGUAACACGUGAGUAACCUGCCCUUUACUUUGGUAUAACUUCAGGAAACUGGGGCUAAUACCGUAUAUGAUCUCCUGCUGCAUGUUGUGGUUUGGAAAUUUUCGGCUGUUGGGGAUGGACUCGCGGCUUAUCAUCUUGUUUGUGGGGUAGUGGCUUACCAAGGCUUUGACGGGUAGCCGGCAUGAGAGGGUGACCGGCCACAUGGGGACGGAGAUACGGCCCAGAAUGCAAAGGGAGGCAGCAGUGGGGAAUAUUGCAAAAUGGGCGGAAGCCUGAUGCAGCAACGCGGCGAGCGGGAUGACGGCCUACGGGUUGAAAACCGAUUGCGCAUGUGACGAAGAGUGAGUGACGGUAAUGGGUAAAGAAGCACCGGCUAACUACGUG
rnacentral:rRNA from 1 species